rnacentral:rRNA from 1 species
AGUGAACGCUGGCGGUAGACCUAACACAUGCAAGUCGAACGGCAGCACAGUAAGAGCUUGCUCUUACGGGUGGCGAGUGGCGGACGGGUGAGGAAUACAUCGGAAUCUACUUUUUCGUGGGGGAUAACGUAGGGAAACUUACGCUAAUACCGCAUCCGACCUACGGGUGAAAGCAGGGGAUCUUCGGACCUUGCGCGAUUGAAUGAGCCGAUGUCGGAUUAGCUAGUUGGCGGGGUAAAGGCCCACCAAGGCGACGAUCCGUAGCUGGUCUGAGAGGAUGAUCAGCCACACUGGAACUGAGACACGGUCCAGACUCCUAAGGGAGGCAGCAGUGGGGAAUAUUGGACAAUGGGCGCAAGCCUGAUCCAGCCAUACCGCGUGGGUGAAGAAGGCCUUCGGGUUGUAAAGCCCUUUUGUUGGGAAAGAAAAGCAGCAGGUUAAUACCCCGCUGUUCUGACGGUACCCAAAGAAUAAGCACCGGCUAACUUCGUG